rnacentral:lncRNA from 1 species
UGCGACAGUCACUGCGCACCACCUGAGUCACCCUACCAACGCCGCAGACUCGCUGUUCAAAUAUGUCGACACCGUGUCCUCGCCAUAAAGGUCUGUAAGACUAUGAAAUGAAGACAAAAGCAGCAAGACCAAGAACCAACCAUAACUGUUUCAAGGUUGCAGUCAAGUCAAGGCCAUAAUUCCAGCACCAGUAACUAUAUUGACUCACCAGGCUGACAACAGCACCAGAAAACUGAAGCUAUCCUGAAAUCAUUAAACCCAUAAUCACUCUCAUGGAUUUGGGUGCCUUUUCAUUGACAACCACCUUGUUCUUUCUUGAUUUGUUAUUGUCUUAGGUAUUAGGUUACCGACAGUCAUUUUUCAUCUUUUCACGUUCCAACCCUUGAAAAAGAAACAAGCUGUAGGUUCACGGUGGCAGACCGACAGCAUAUAGAGGUCGAACGACAAACAGAUCUUCCAAAGUGUGCUGAGGUUUGACAGCGUGUGGAAGUUGAACGAAAACAGCGUGCGGAGGCCCGAUGGCUGAUGGGAACUUACGGGACGAAGGUAUGGCACAAUGGUUCCACCUUUGUGUGGCAGAGUGCUUUAUAGAGUUGGAAAUGUGGCUAGAUCUGAGACAUAGGAUUUUUCCAAAGGACUAGGCUGACUCAAAGGCACCAUGCCUUUCGCGCGUCAAGCUCA